rnacentral:siRNA from 1 species
ACAAUCUUCAUCUAUAUGCUUUAU